rnacentral:rRNA from 1 species
UGGAAGUAAAAGUCGUAACAAGGUCUCCGUUGGUGAACCAGCGGAGGGAUCAUUACCGAGUUUACAACUCCCAAACCCCUGUGAACAUACCUAUACGUUGCCUCGGCGGAUCAGCCCGCGCCCCGUAAAACGGGACGGCCCGCCCGAGGACCCCUAAACUCUGUUUUUAGUGGAACUUCUGAGUAAAACAAACAAAUAAAUCAAAACUUUCAACAACGGAUCUCUUGGUUCUGGCAUCGAUGAAGAACGCAGCAAAAUGCGAUAAGUAAUGUGAAUUGCAGAAUUCAGUGAAUCAUCGAAUCUUUGAACGCACAUUGCGCCCGCCAGUAUUCUGGCGGGCAUGCCUGUUCGAGCGUCAUUUCAACCCUCAAGCUCAGCUUGGUGUUGGGACUCGCGGUAACCCGCGUUCCCCAAAUCGAUUGGCGGUCACGUCGAGCUUCCAUAGCGUAGUAAUCAUACACCUCGUUACUGGUAAUCGUCGCGGCCACGCCGUAAAACCCCAACUUCUGAAUGUUGACCUCGGAUCAGGUAGGAAUACCCGCUGAACUUAAGCAUAUCAAUAAGCGGAGGA